UUCAGUCUUCGUGGCCUAAUGGUAUCACCACAAGAACCAGAUUAGCGGGUGUGAUUUUGAAAGCUAAGCAGGGACAGCCCUGAAUAGUAUUUGGAUGGGAGACCACCAAGGAACAUUAAGUACAGUACUGUGA
rnacentral:rRNA from 11 species